GGGCUGUAAAGCGUUCGUAACUGGGUGUGUUAAGUCUGCUGGGGAAAUCUGGGCGGNUUAACCGUCAGGCGUCUAAGGGAUACGUGGCAAAUCGUUGGAACCGGGAGAGGUGAGGGNUACUUCGGGGGUAGGAGUGAAAUCCGUGUAAUCCUCGAGGGACCACCUGUGGCAAGGCGCCUCACCAGAACGGCGUUCGACAGUGAGGGACGAAAGCUGGGGGAGCAAACCGGAUUAGAUACCCGGGUAGUCCCAGCCGUAAACUAUGCGCGUUAGGUGUAUCGGUGACCACGAGUUACGAGGUGCCGAAGGGAAACCGUGAAACGUGCCGCCUGGGAAGUACGGUCGCAAGGGCUGAAACUUAAAGGAAUUGGCGGGGUGAGCACCACAACAGUGUGGAGCCUGCGGUUUUAAUUGGACUCAACGCCGGGAAGCUCACCGGAUAAGACAGCAGAAUGAUUGCCGGGCUGAAGACUCUGCAUGACUAGCUGAGAGGAGGUGCAUGGCCGUCGUCAGUUCGUACUGUGAAGCAUCCUGAUAAGUCAGGCAACGAGCAAGACCCACGCCAACAGUUGCCAGCAUGGUCUCCGGACUGAUGGGGACACUGUUGGGACCGCCUCUGCUAAAGAGGAGGAAGGGAUGGGCAACGGUAGGUCAGCAUGCCCCGAAUUAUCCGGGCUACACGCGGGCUACAAUGGGCAGGACAAUGGGCAUCGACACCGAAAGGUGAAGGCAAUCUCCUAAACCUGUCCUUAGUUCGGAUUGUGGGCUGCAACUCGCCCACAUGAAGCUGGAAUCUGUAGUAAUCGCGUUUCAAAAUAACGCGGUGAAUUUGUCCCUGCUCCUUGCACACACCGCCCGUCAAACCACCCGAGUGGGGUUUGGAUGAGGUUGCGGUUGUUGCCGCAGUCGAAUCUAGGUUCCGCAAGGGGGGUUAAGUCGUAACAAGGUAGCCGUAAAUCACUAGUGAUUC
rnacentral:rRNA from 1 species